AUUGAACGCUGGCGGCGGGCCUAACACAUGCAAGUCGAACGAGGGGCGGACGGGUGAGUAAUGUCUGGGCACCUGCCUGAUGGAGGGGGAUAACUACUGGAAACGGUAGCUAAUACCGCAUCCCAUCGGAUGUGGCCAGAUGGGCUUAGCUAGUGGGUGGGGUAAAGGCUCACCUAGGCGACGAUCCCUAGCUGGUCUGUGAGGAUGACAAGCGACACUGGAACGGAGACACGGCCCAGACUACUACGUGAGGAAGCAGUGGGGAAUAGUGCGCAAUGGGCGCAAGCCUGAUGCAGCCAUGCAGCGUGUAUGAAGACGGCCGUCGGGUUGUAAAGUCCGUUCAGGGGUGAGGCGUUACCUGCAGAAGAAGCACCGGCUAACUCCGUGCCAGCAGCCGCGGUAAUAC
rnacentral:rRNA from 1 species